GUACAAUGAAAUUGAGUGCAGUCAGCGAGGGGGGGAAUCGAACCUGCGAACCAUUGCGACCAUGAUGUUUUUCGCACAUAGGGUACCGGUCUUAACCACUGAGCCACUCCACCUAAUAAGAUGAAUGAACAUCUCAUUAGCUGCCUUUCCUUAAAUAAUAAUACUAAUAACAAUAAUAAUAAUAAUAAUAAGGAGAAGAAGAAGUGUUAGAGCCGGUCCUGGAAUGGAAGCGAGCCAGCCAGAGGGUGCGCAGUUUAUCCAUGGUCCUCGACCUGCGGCAUUACCGACCCUGCCGCUGUAGUCUGUGGAGGAGGCGUCUGUUCUCCGGAGACGCCUGACAGAAAUCAAGCCUAACCGUGCCGAACUACUCAACAAUCCUAAAAACGUGGGUUAAUGUCCAACAACCAACAGGAGUCUGGUGUAAAUUCACAAGUCACUCUAGCGUGCGUGCCACAGUUACCACAGUUUCACGCUGCGGUUAAGUACGUAGCCUACUGUUUUUUUACGUCGCGUACGUCCGGUUAUACCAGGCACAUUGUCAUGUAGCCAAUAGCGACUUUCCUUACUGCGGAGUUAGUGCUUGCAUGGCCGUUAGUUUUAUCAUGCUUCUGUUUUCGGGACCGUCUUUGUCAGUGUCGUCCAUUUUACAGGAUUAAAUGACUGAAUGGAGACAUAUCCCGUGUAUGUGUCCCACGGGAGCACCUGUGGCUUUCCACCGGCGUCCUCGUUUCCCAUGAGGUGCACCAGGAUACUAACGCUGACGUUAGUCUUCUUGUUCCUGGACAAAUAUGGUCAUGCUGUCCAGGUGAUUGGAGGAAACCGGACUGCAGUCCAAGGAGGGACAAUUGUCUUACAUUCCAACAUAAUUGACACCACAGAGACCCUUGGCCAAGUUUCAUGGAUGAGGGCUACCCGAGGAGAACCUCUGAAUAACAACUUCUAUACAGUUGUGUCCGACAAUGGAGGAGUGGUGGACAAUGGGCACAAAGAUGGUCGAUUUAAAUUCAUUGGGAACUUAAAAGAGAAAAAUGGAUCUCUCCGGUUAUCAAACGUCACAUUGCUGGAUGAAGGGGUCUACACAUGCAUCUUCACUCUUUUCCCGAGUGGAAAUCACAAGACGGAGAUACCUCUAAAAGUGCUAGUGCCUCCAGUCACAGAGGUAAAAGACGAUCUUCCUGUUUUGGGUGAUAAAGAAAUUUCCCUUGCUACCUGCUUGGCUGCUGGUUCCAGGCCUCCAGCAGAGGUGAGGUGGCUCACCGGUACUCUCACACAAAAACUGAGGUCAACAACCGACUACAUCCAACAUGAAAAUGGUACAACAACCACAGUCAGCUACCUGAUAGGUGAACCUACCAGAGAAAUCUACCAACAUGUGGUCCACUGUGUCAUCACCAGUCCGGCUUUGUCGAAAGAGGAGACAAUACCAUUCACCCUACAGAUCUACUUUUCACCCAGGGAAGUGACCAUCAACACAAUGUCCAAAGACUCAUUUCAGUGUGUGACUGAAGCCAACCCAAGUGCAAAAAUUACCUGGAGCAGACCUGGUCAACCGUGGCCUCAAUCUGCUGUCGACGUACACGGUGCCACGCUACAGUUUUCAAACAUGAACUCUGACCUGAAUGGCCUCUACCAGUGUGAAGUGUCUAACUUACAUGGACGUGACCGUGCUUAUGUGUUUGUGCACGUGACUUCAGGAACCUGCUGUGCCUGUUGGACUUUAUUUGGUAUUUUGUUUUUCCUGAAUGUCACUGCAGCUGUCGUGUGUUGCCUUCUUAAAUAUGGGAUACUUCAAAGGAUAAUUGAAGGUAUACGUGAGAGGCUGCAGAAUGUCCCACCCAGUUCCAGUGGACCUGCAGAGACUGGAAGUUUAGGAGAAGAACCAGAGUUACAGCCAAUGAGAUCGGACUAACUUUGGCUUCCAAGGAACAACAAGAUCAUCAACGUUUGAACUAAAGGUGAUUCACAGGCAUUACUGCCUAGAAUUACUAACUUUUGAACUGUUUAUUUUCUCAGUGUUUACAUUUUAAUUUAGAAGUUUCUCACUAAAAUAGCAAAGAUCAUCUGCACACUCAAUCUGUGGAAAAAUCUUAAUUUGCUAUUAAGUUGUAUUUAAUGUUUUAUUUUAACCCCCAUGUUGUUGACACACAUGUUCUUCUCACACCUAAAAUUAUUUUCAAUAGCUUCAUGUCGAGGUCGUCAACAUCCGUGGAUGUUUUUGCUACGUAUUUUUUGACCAGGUGUCUAAUCUCUGUGUCCUUCACUGGGGUGAGAAACAUUGUGAAGGAGUGAGUCAGGAAUGUUCUUCGCCAGAUUCGGCCCCACAUUGACAAAGAAUUCAUUCAAUCUUUCUACUAUGAUUUCCAUGUUAUCUUCCUUCGUGUUAUUAUCCUUGAAGUAUGGAGGGUAGCUAGGUUUUGUGUUUUUGUUUUUGAUCACAUCGUUUAGAAUAUCCCAUAGUUUUUUAGUAUAGUUCAUGUUUUCUGCUUGCAGAUUACUGUAGUAUUCUUUCUUGCGAUCAUUUAGGAUGCUAUUUAGUUUGUUCCUAUAUCGUUUGUAUUUCGUUUCUGACUGUUCCGUCCUUAAUCUUAUGUAUUGUCUAUACAGGGUGUUUUUCUUCUCGCAGGCGUUUAUCAAUGUUUUUGUCAGCCAUGGUUUCCCCUCCUUAUUCUGAUGUGCGUGUCUUUUCUUUACAGGACAGUGUCAAUUAUACAGCGUUUUAAAUAUUUGCAAAAGGAAUCGUAAGCGCCAUUUACAUCUGUUUGUUUGUAGACCUCGUUCCAGUUUUGCCUCAGUAGUUCAUUUCUCAGUGUAAGCGUCCCCUUUUCAGUCCUGACCCUUCUAUAUGUGUUUUUGUUCGGUGUCUGUGUCACAGUGUGCCUCCAGUCAUAGAUGGCAAAGAUUGGCAGGUGGUCACUUAUGUCAUUCAUCAGUAGUCCUCUUGUUAUGUCUUUCCCUAUAAUAAUUGUGAAAAUAUUAUCGAUUAGGGUAGCACUAUGUGUUGUGAACCUGCUCGGUCGUGUAAUGAGGGGUUGUAAGCCCAUCGUAUACAUCAUAUUAGUGAAGUCAUCAAUAAUCAUAUUUUGUUUUGGGUUGAGUAAGUCAAUAUUCACAUCCCCACAGAUAAAAACCCUUAUACUCUUAUAUAAUAAAUGAAGGGAUGAUUACAAGCAGUUAUAAACGUGUGUGAAUUCAAGAGAAUAAGCUGUAAAACAACAACAAUAAUCAUAAUGAUUAAUGUGAUGACAGAUAUAUAAUUGUGGUACUGUUAUGUCUGCCUCACAGUAUAAAUAUUCUCCAUGUUUACUGUGGUACCACUAUCUGUAUAAACUUGUUUCGGUGGUACUGAACUGAAAGCAGUUCUCUGAAGUUCUCUAAAGUUCUCUAAAGGUACAAUUCAAUUUUGCUGGUCAAAAAGCCAAAAGCUGCUCACCUGUUGCAUUUGCUGGUAUAUACUAGUACCUCUUCUAUAGCUGCACAUAGUAAACAGUGAGUAUCUACCACUACUGGCCACUUCUUGUAGUGAAGCUAUUUUACAACAUUGUUAAACAAGGCUUUUUUAUGUUUGUGUGUUACUAUUUUGAAGUUACAAUGUAAAGUAAAACUUAGGGUACCAAUGAA